CACGUAGUUAGCCGGGGCUUCUUAGUCGGGUACCGUCUCUCUUCUUCCCUGCUGAUAGAGCUUUACAUACCGAAAUACUUCUUCACUCACGCGGCGUUGCUGCAUCAGGGUUUCCCCCAUUGUGCAAUAUUCCCCACUGCUGCCUCCCGUAGGAGUUUGGGCCGUGUCUCAGUCCCAAUGUGGCCGGUCACCCUCUCAGGUCGGCUACUGAUCGUUGCCUUGGUGAGCCGUUACCUCUCCAACUAGCUAAUCAGACGCGGGUCCAUCUCAUACCACCUCAGUUUUUCACACCAAACCAUGCGGUUUUGUGCGCUUAUGCGGUAUUAGCAGUCAUUUCUAACUGUUAUCCCCCUGUAUGAGGCAGGUUACCCACGCGUUACUCACCUGUCCGCCACUCAGUCAUAGUUGUUUCCUUCCGAAAAACUUCCACUCCUAUGCUUCGUUCGACUUGCAUGUGUUAAGCACGCCGCCAGCGUUCAUCCUGAGCCACGGAUCAAACUC
rnacentral:rRNA from 1 species